ensembl:lncRNA
CUCAGGGUCAGGGACAGGCAGAGUUCAGUAAUCCAGAGGGGGCAAGGUACAGGACGGCAGGCAGGCUCAGGGUCAGGGACAGGCAGAGUUCAGUAAUCCAGAGGGGGUAAGGUACAGGACAGAAGGGUGGCUCAGGGGCAGGUAGAGUGGUCAGUCAGGCGAGAAAAGAGAGACUAGAAAAAGCAGCAGCUGACAUGACGAACACUGGUAAACUUGACAAAUAAGAGGAACUGGCAACAGACAAACAGAAAACACAGGUAUAAGUACACAGGGGAUAAUGGGGAAGAUGGGUGACACCUGGAGGUGGUCGAGACAAGCACAAUGACAGGUGAAACAGAUCAGGGAGUGACAGG